UACCAGCACCCCGAGUGGUCGGGACGAUUAUUGGGCCUAAAGCAUCCGUAGCCGGUUUUACAAGUCCUCCGUUAAAUCCAGCUGCUUAACAGAUGGGCUGCGGAGGAUACUAUAAGACUAGGAGGCAGGAGAGGCAAGCGGUACUCAGUGGGUAGGGGUAAAAUCCGUUGAUCCAUUGAAGACCACCAGUGGCGAAGGCGGCUUGCCAGAAUGCGCUCGACGGUGAGGGAUGAAAGCUGGGGGGAGCAAACCAGG
rnacentral:rRNA from 1 species